GUGAAGGGAAGGGCUCGCUUCACUGUUUGUCGGGAGAGGGUGGGAAUUGGCUGAGGGGCGCUGGGUUCUUUCGGGGUGUGGGACAGGGAAGGGAGAAGACGUUCCAGGUGACUGGCUCCCAGCAUCUUUCAGGAUGAUUCUCAAACCCCAGUCAAGGCUGCCUGCCCGUUCCGCACGCAGUCCCUCAUCUUUCAGCAUUCGAUUCCUAGGCCCGAUGCGGGAGGUGACUUGCUAUGGCCCCCCCGCGACUUCGCCGCUUCGCGGAGCUCACACCUGCGUCUCUCUAGGACUGCGCUUCCCCGCUAUGUGCCCGCGGCCGCCGCUUUUCCUCUUGGGGUCCCAGGUUCCUCGACUUUACGGAUGGUUUGGAUCUCAAGAGUCCUUCCGUUGCCGAUGUUUAGGGAAAGGCUGCACCCCACCUCCCACCAUCUCUUUGGGUGACACGGGACCCCUCUCUGUGCGAUGGAGAGUGGCGCACUUAUGGAGAAAGAGGGUGAAGGCUAAGCUUCUGCCCUCUCGCGUAACCCCCUCCUCCAGUUCGGGCAGGCCAUGGAGGGCUCCAAGUGGCCCCCCAGACUCCUGGGGCAGCAGCAGCCCCUUCCAGAGCAAGGCGUGAGGGCUGCCAGAGGUGUGUGUGUGUGUGUGCGCGCGCGCGCGCGCGCGGCCAACUCCCGGUGGGCGCGUUUCCCGGGGAAGGGGCGGGCGGACCCGACCCGUUUGCUUCCAGGGUGUUUGGUUUCGGAGUUCCUUUCCUGCCAGCCCCCGGAGAAGGCGGGACUCCCGCCUCGCCGAGACCGCCUGCGGCCGCAGCCCGGCUGGCCUGGGUUCGCUCUGGGCCACUCCUGGGGAGACUUCGGGCCGCUCCCUGUCCCGCGCGGAGCCUCCGUUUUCUCCUCUGUGAAUUGGGGGCCGGAGGGCAUGUGCGGAUCUCGGGGGGCCCCUUGUGAUUCCCUCCUGAUUCCGGACCUUGGUGCCGACUCCGGAGGCUCCAGCCGAGACGCCGCUUCCCGCGGGGCUGUGGGUGCGGGGCGCGGCGGAGCGAGGCGCCCAGGCGCGGGCGGCUCGGCCUGCGGGGGUUUAGUUGCACUCUUCGUGGCGGUGGGCGGGGGCCAAGCUUUGGGCAAACUGCCUUCGGAAGAGAGGGGCGAGGAGCCCAGGUCCUCGCUCCGCCGAUCCGAGGUGGAAGGAGUCGCAUCGUUCGCAUGCCGACCUUCCUCAGCGGAGGGGUGCUCGGACGGCUGGAGAGGGGCUUUUCAGUCGCUCUGCAAAACUCCCAGCUUCCUUCUUCCGAAGUAACGAAGAUGCGAAUAUCCAGGGUUCAUCCUCUUAUGUUUUUCAAAAGGGAAAAAAUUAAGUUAAAAAUUUUUAUUUUAAUCGGAUUACAUCAUAGUAAUCUUUUAAUACGGAGUUCUGUGGUUCUCUGUAUUUCUAAGAUUGUGAGAUUAGAUUUCCAAAUUUUAAAUUUUGGACCAUUAUCCUAACGUGAUUGCAUAAAUUAAAGAACGUGGUUUUGUAAUUCUAAGAUUCCAUGACCAGAAGUCUAAAUUCUUUAACUGUAAUUAUAUUCCUAUGACUUUAAGCUUCUGGUCAAAGUGUAAAAGCGUAUUUCUCAUAUUUUAAGAUACUAGGACUAAGAUUUUGCGCCUGAAAAUAUGAUGCCACUACUGGAAGCUGUAGCUUCUCUAGUUUUUAGAUCUUUUUGCAGCUCUGAGGUAUAUAUUACUUAAUUUGAAUUCUUGUCCUGAAAUGACCGAUCGGAAGAUUUGGGUUCUAUAAAUCCACAAAUGUCCUCUUAAAUCCAAAAUGCUAGUACUGAAACCACUAUUCUGUAACUCAAAGAAUCUAAUUCUAAUAAUCCUUAUGAUAUUCGUGAGCAUACGCUUGAAUGCUAUAUGUCUCUACUUUUAAGCUCCAGUGACUAUGGUCAGAAGCCUCCGUGUCUCAGGAGUCCUUGAUCCUCAGUGUUUGUGUCUGUGGGCCCCUUCUUCUAGCAUCCCCAUUCCUCCUUCCAACUUUGCUGCUGCCGAACUACUCCUGUGCACCAGACCAAGCGUUAGCAUCCUGAGAUUAGAAUUUCUGACAUCAGGAUUCUGACAUGUUCACGAACAAAGGAUCCUAAAGAUUGUAUCCCAUAAAUACUUUGUUCUAAUAAUACAUUUCAAAAUUCUGUACUUUGAAGAUUCUAUGAAGCCACGAUGUAAAAUCUGAAUCAAACAAUCUAAUGAGUGAACUGAGAUGGUUUACCCGUUUGGAUCAAAACUCUACAGAAAGAUCCCCUGGGUACCAGGGCAUUUCCUCUCUUUUCUCUGGUCGUCUUCCCCUCUUCUCUGGCAUGGUGCUCCCUAAAGUUUGUAAGGGUAACAGACCCCAUUGAGAGCCAUUUGAAAGCUACCCAGUGGGUUCCAGCCCCUUGGAAAUCAUUCUCCCAAAGUCCAGCAGGGGUGGUUGGUGACAGGGGUGGGUGCUUGGGUGAUUUCCAUCUGCUUUGCGCCUGCCUUCAGCCAGCAUGUCUCCCCUUUGGAAAAACCUACACCCCCCCCCCCCCAAGGCUAUUUUACAUGCUCUUUUCGGGGGAGGGCAGGAGUGCUGGCGAUCUGUGGAAGACGCCUGCAGCUCUUCCCAGCAGCUGCUUUCCCGAGUUCUGAAGUUUUGUAAAUAUAAAGGAAGGGAUCUAAGGAGUCAAGGAAAACUCCUCCGUAUGCCUUGACCCAGAUGCCCCUUCAUGCAGAGGCAGAAGUAGCCAGUGCUUCUCCUGAAGGAAAUCUUGGAGAUUCGAGCUGGAAGGAAACUAGGCCCGGAUUGCAGAAGCGACCUGUUUAAAGUCUUGCCGAGGGGGCAUAGUGCUGAGAGGGAACUCAGGUCUUCCGGCUCCUUACCUCCUGGCCCGCACCCUCUCUGCCUUUUCUAGAGUUCUCCCUUGUGCUUAAAGGCCUGACCUGGGCCACUCACCUUACCUAGUGACAAUGGAAACUGCAGGCCCCAUUCUUGCAAAUCAGAUCCAAGACUCCCGGUGCAGCGGGAACAUAGUGACCUCUGUCUAGGUUACUCUGGGACAGUCAGUCUGGGUCAGUGGACUGGAUGGCUUCAGAGAGCAUCAGAGCAAGACACUGCCACAAAGGGGUCCCGUGUCACACAGCCCUGCCCACACUGCAGCAGCGCACUGGAGCAGGGGCUCCGAGUCCAGCGGGCUCAUUAUCCACCCAGCGGCCUCGAACCCUCCGCUACCCUUCUUAGGCCUCAGUUUUCUCAUCUGUGAAGUGGGGGAUCCUCUAUCUGUCAUCCCUCUUCCAGGGAGUCGAGAGGAUGGAGUGGGGCCCGUAGUCGUUCUCUUCGACUUUUAAAUUGUGUUCAGGGCGGAGCGUGGACGUGGGGAAAAUUCAAGUCCUUGCACCCGUGGGCCGCGAUGGGAUGCCUCCCUCGAAGACGUAGCGGUUUGUUAGAGUUCUUCCGCGGUCGAACAAGGGGUUUCCAGGCUCCCAGGCCCGCGCCGUGCGGCUUCUUUUGCUCCUUUUGCUCUUCAGCGCGGCACGGGGACCCCCGGAGCUCGGUCGGGGCAACCUGGCUUCGAGGGCUUUCUUGCCAUGGGUUCACUUAAACGCCCUGAACGGAGCGUGACCAUCACCACGCGGACCGGACGGAGAAACCGGGGCCGAGAGGGACGCCUUCGGUCUCCCGCCACCCCACCGCUAGCCUCUUGGCUCACCUCGAGGAAGAAGCGUUUCCCUGUCGCGUUUUCCCGUCCCAGUCCCAACCCUCCCGCGAGUCCCCGCGGCGGGGAGCUCGGGAGCCGGUGGGGACAUCCAGGAGCUCCGCGGCGGCGAAAGGGGAGCAGCUCGGAGCCGGGACCGAGCCUGAGCCAGGGCCUCGGCCUGGCCCCCACCCCCAGUCUAGCGCACCCACGCUUUCUCGGGAGCUCAGCGAGCGUGCGAGUCCAGGACCGGGAGCCCGAGGCGUGAUCCUCGUUUCCUGAGACGGAGGCGGGCCGGGCGGCGGGAGCGGGCUGGACUCUCGGGGGAAGCCGCGGCCGGGGGAGGCGGGCGAGCAGGCGCAGUUGGUUAGGCUCAGGCGUGGGCGCAGCAGCAGCCCUCUGGGAUCGUGGGCGUCCGGGUUUCCCGGGCUGGGUCCGAGCUCUGCGCGUGGCCCUGGGACUGCGAGAAGCCGGGAUGUGCACGGAAGCUUGUGGAUGUUCAUUUCAGGUCAUCGAGUUCGUGGUUUGCACGCCCAUCUCAACAGGGCCGAGGAUUACGCCCCUUUCCCCCUCAGAGGGGAAACGCACGAGACUGGAUUCUAGUUCAGCCACCUGAGGCACAGGAAGAGACCCUGACUUGUCCCCCUCCCCAGGCCAGCCUCGCUCGGAGCCCAGGCCUCUGAUUCCGAUCCCUGACGCCUCCUCGCCCCGCAGCUCCGUCCCGGCGCCCCCGGCAGGGGCGCAGGGUGGUGAUGGGGGAAUGGCUAGAGCUUGGCACGGUGCCUCAGCCGGUCCCCUGACGACGACCCUAGCCCAGCUGGCUGGUUGCUCAGCGCCCGAUGCCGAGGCCGGCGAUGGCACUGGGAGCUGGAAGACACUUCUCGCCGCCGUCCCCGCCCCGCCGCAGGCGCAGGCGGCCCAGCUCUCCUCUGGCCUUUUUCCUUCGGGCUUUUCUGGGUCUCUUUCUCUGUCUUGGGUCCUAGGAGUGUCUCUCUUGGUCUCACUGACCGUCUUUUGGCCUCUGUGUACCAAUAGGACUGCACGUGUCCUUCCUCCCUUUCUGGGAUGAUCUCCCCAGAGUCCCUCCCGCCGACAGCCCGCCGCGGGAUGUGAGGGAACGGCACCCUCCAGCUAGGGCCCGGCUGCCCUACCAGCCUCUUCCCUCCUGGAGGAUGGAGUGGACAGUGGUGAGGCCAGGAGAGACAGACGUCGACCCAGGACGAUGCUGGAGCAGACCACUGACUAUUUCCUGUAUCUGGUUAGUGGAACUGCCUCUGAUUUUGGGUCAUUUGCUGGCCAGAGAUGAUUGACAUCGGCUUUACCUGAUGAAUGACUAAGACCAAGCUCAGGUACACACCUAAGAGAGGACUGUCUGGGUCGGAUGUCUCUAAGCGUCAGGAAUCCGAGUGGAGCUUAGCCGGUGUGGCUGGCAGCAUUGGCCCAUCCGAGCUUGAGGCCGCUUUGGAGUAGUGCUGGAUACGGGAAAACUGGAGAGAAGAAGGAAGAAAAGAGAAGAGGGCUGGAAAAGGGGACAGAAGGAAAAAUGAGUUAAGGGACUGGAAAGAAUCAGUGUUCGGAAGAAGGCAGUUGUUGCUAAACCACUUUUCAGGCUGUACUUCUGCUGGACGGAGGAGCUUCAAUCGUCUUGAUCAACGUGCCUGUAUCAGGCUUUGAACAGGAGCUAUAGAUAUGUUAGUUCAUUUACUCAAUCCUGCAACAGUCCCACCUUCCAGAUUUAGAAACUGAGAUCUGAAAAGUUAAGUAAGACUUGGCCAAGGCCAUAUACCCGAGAUGGAUUUCCUCCCCCAGAACCUGUGACCUUUCACGGUGGUACCCGAGUAUAUUCCUGUGUUACUCUGCUUCCGACUCUGCCUCACAGCAUCCUUUGCCUCCUGGGUCCGUGAGACCUCUUCUAGGAAGUUCCAGUGGACAGUAAGAAAGACAGAUCCUCUGGUCUCCCUGGUCUCUAGUUAUGGCAGCCUGCGUUCUCUUUGAAGACUGAGCUGUGUUACGGAACUCCCUCCUCCCCCGACUCUAACAGGCUUAGUGCCUCAAUCAGUGAAAGGACAGUAGGUCUCUGCUUCUGGCCGCCUCCGUGAAUGAUUUCUGCCCUGUAGUGGAAGAGUCACUGGUGGCUCUGCCCGAGAUGUCCUCUACCUGGUCAGCAUCCUCUGAUGUAACACCCCUAGACACAGUGAAUCUUGGAUAUGAAGCUGCUUCGAGUUUGAGCUUCACGUAGUGAAUGGUUUGGGCAGGUCCACUGUCCCUCCAGCCUCAGUUCCUUCAGCUGUUGAACUGAGGGGGAAGAGGUGGCUGAAUUAGUGGUUCUUUCUCCACGGAAGUGAAGACUGCGAAGUAUGCUCCGGUCCGUAGGAGCUCUAGGCAUUGUCUAUGGAUUAAAUAGUUUGUCCGUCUUGCGUAUAUACACGUGACUACAUUUCAAAUGUGUGUAAAGCUGUGUGAGAAAUAAAAUGCAAAUUC
rnacentral:lncRNA from 1 species